GAUGAACGCUAGCUACAGGCUUAACACAUGCAAGUCGCGGGGCAGCAUGGGGGUUGCUUGCAAUCCCUGAUGGCGACCGGCGCACGGGUGAGUAACGCGUAUCCAACCUGCCCUUCACCACGGGAUAACCCGGCGAAAGUCGGACUAAUACCGUAUGUUGUCCAUUGACGGCAUCCGAUUUGGACGAAAGGCUUAGCGGUGAGGGAUGGGGAUGCGUCCGAUUAGCUUGACGGCGGGGUAACGGCCCACCGUGGCUACGAUCGGUAGGGGUUCUGAGAGGAAGGUCCCCCACACUGGAACUGCGACACGGUCCAGACUCCUACGGGCGGCAGCAGUGCGGAAUAUUGGUCAAUGGGCGUAAGCCUGAACCAGCCAAGUAGCGUGCAGGAUGACGGCCCUAUGGGUUGUAAACUGCUUUUAUGCGGGGAUAAAGGGACCCACGUGUGGGUUUUUGCUGGUACCGCAUGAAUAAGGACCGGCUAAUUCCGUG
rnacentral:rRNA from 1 species